CGACCUGCUAAAUAGUCAGGCUAUACAUUUCGGUGUAUGCGAUUUAUUUCUUUCUGCACUUCUUAGAGGGACUAUCUGGCUGCAACAGAUGGAAGUUCGAGGCAAUAACAGGUCUGUGAUGCCCUUAGAUGUUCUGGGCCGCACGCGCGCUACACUGAUUCGUUCAUCAAGUUAUUCACCUUGACUGACAGGUCUGGGUAAUCUUUUCAAAGCGAAUCGUGAUGGGGAUAGAAUAUUGCAAUUAUUAUUCUUCAACGAGGAAUUCCUAGUAAACGCAAGUCAUCAACUUGCAUUGAUUACGUCCCUGCCCUUUGUACACACCGCCCGUCGCU
rnacentral:rRNA from 1 species